GAACGGCAGCACGGGAGCAAUCCUGGUGGCGAGUGGCGAACGGGUGAGUAAUAUAUCGGAACGUGCCCAGUCGUGGGGGAUAACGCAGCGAAAACUGUGCUAAUACCGCAUACGAUCUCUGGAUGAAAGCGGGGGACUCGCAAGGGCCUCGCGCGAUUGGAGCGGCCGAUAUCAGAUUAGGUAGUUGGUGGGGUAAAGGCCUACCAAGCCUGCGAUCUGUAGCUGGUCUGAGAGGACGACCAGCCACACUGGAACUGAGACACGGUCCAGACUCCUACGGGAGGCAGCAGUGGGGAAUUUUGGACAAUGGGCGCAAGCCUGAUCCAGCAAUGCCGCGUGCAGGAUGAAGGCCUUCGGGUUGUAAACUGCUUUUGUACGGAGCGAAACGGUCUGCCCUAAUACGGCGGGCUAAUGACGGUACCGUAAGAAUAAGCACCGGCUAACUACGUGCCAGCAGCCGCGGUAAUACGUAGGGUGCGAGCGUUAAUCGGAAUUACUGGGCGUAAAGCGUGCGCAGGCGGUGAUAUAANACAGAUGUGAAAUCCCCGGGCUCAACCUGGGACCUGCAUUUGUGACUGUAUCNCUAGANUACGGNANAGGGGGAUGGGAUU
rnacentral:rRNA from 1 species